UACGUAUGGUGCAAGCGUUAUCCGGAUUUACUGGGUGUAAAGGGAGCGUAGACGGCAAAGCAAGUCUGAUGUGAAAGCUAUGGGCUCAACCCAUAAACUGCAUUGGAAACUGUUUAGCUAGAGUGUCGGAGAGGUAAGUGGAAUUCCUAGUGUAGCGGUGAAAUGCGUAGAUAUUAGGAGGAACACCGGUGGCGAAGGCGGCUUACUGGACGAUAACUGACGUUGAGGCUCGAAAGCGUGGGGAG
rnacentral:rRNA from 1 species